GGACCUUUAGCUCAGUUGGUCAGAGCUACCUACUCAUGAUAGGUCGGCCGUGGGUUCGAAUCCUACAAGGUCCA
rnacentral:tRNA from 1 species